GACCCGAAACCGGGUGACCUAACCAUGGACAGGUUGAAGUGGAAGUAAAAUUCCAUGGAGGACCGAACCCACGUCUGUUGAAAAAGGCGGGGAUGAGCUGUGGUUAGCGGUGAAAUUCCAAUCGAACUCGGAUAUAGCUGGUUCUCAUCGAAAUAGCUUUAGGGCUAGCCUCAGGAUAGUUUAGCGGAGGUAAAGCACUGAAUGGGCUAGGGGGCUUCACGGCUUACCGAACCCUAUCAAACUCUGAAUGCCGCAUAAAUGUUUCCUGGGAGUCAGACUGCGUGAGAUAAGUUUCGUAGUCGAAAGGGAAAGAGCCCAGACCUACAGCUAAGGUCCCUAAAUGAAUUUAAGUGGAAAAGGAUGUGCAGUUGCGUAGACNACUAGGACGUUGGCUUAGAAGCAGCCACUCAUUUAAAGAGUGCGUAAUAGCUCACUAGUCGAGUGAUUGUGCGCCGAANAUGUAACGGGGCUAAAAUUCAUACCGAAGCUUAGGAAUGAUAGUAAUAUUGUUGGUAGAUGAGCGUUGUGUAAGUCUGCGAAGCUACACCGAAAGGAGUAGUGGAGAUUUCACAAGUGAGAAUGCCGGAAUGAGUAGCGAGAAUUAUGUGAGAAUCAUAAUGGUCGAAAAUCUAAGGUUUCUUGAGGAAGGUUCGUCCGCUCAAGGUAAGCCGGGAGCUAAGGCGAGGCCGAGAGGCGUAGUCGAUGCACAUACGGUAAAGAUUCCGUAGCCACCGAAGUUGUNAAAUACAGGGACACAGGAACAUAGCCUAACCCCACCGUUGGUUGAGUGGGGCGUAAGGGAGCGAAAAUUAGUAGCGAAGUGGGUGAUUGUACACUGGCGAGAAAAGCUGUAUGAAUUGACAAGGUGCCCGUACCGCAAACCGACACAGGUAGAUGAGGAGAGAAUCCUAAGACCAGCGGGAGAAGUGUUGUUAAGGAACUCGGCAAAAUGACCCCGUAACUUCGGGAUAAGGGGAGCCUACGAGAGUAGGCCGCAGAGAAUAGUCUCAAGCGACUGUUUAGCAAAAACACAGGUCUAUGCUAAAUCGAAAGAUGAUGUAUAUGGGCUGACGCCUGCCCGGUGCUGGAAGGUUAAGGGGAAGUGUUAGAGCAAUCGAAGCACUGAACUUAAGCCCCAGUAAACGGCGGCCGUAACUAUAACGGUCCUAAGGUAGCGAAAUUCCUUGUCAGGUAAGUUCUGACCCGCACGAAUGGCGUAACGACUUGAGAGCUGUCUCAACAACAUACCCGGCGAAAUUGAAGUACUGGUAAAGAUGCCAGUUACCCGUGAUAAGACGGAAAGACCCCAUGGAGCUUUACUGUAACUUGAUAUUGAAUUUUUGUAUUACAUGUACAGGAUAGGUGGGAGACAGAGAACUAAUGCCGCCAGGUGUUAGGGAGUCGAUGUUGGGAUACCACUCUUGU
rnacentral:rRNA from 1 species